rnacentral:tRNA from 1 species
GAGGUUGUAGCUCAGUGGUAGAGCACUUGCCUAGCACGCAUGAUGCACUGGGUUCAAUCCCCAGCACCACA